GGGAAGAGCUCAAAUUUUAAAUCUGGCAGUCUUUGGCUGUCCGAGUUGUAAUCUAGAGAAGCGUUUUCCGCUCUGGUACCGUGUACAAGUCUUCUGGAAGGGAGCGUCAUAGAGGGUGAGAAUCCCGUCUUUGACACGGACUACCAGCGCUCUGUGAUGCGCUCUCGACGAGUCGAGUUGUUUGGGAAUGCAGCUCAAAACGGGUGGUAAAUUCCAUCUAAAGCUAAAUACGGGCGAGAGACCGAUAGCGAACAAGUACCGUGAGGGAAAGAUGAAAAGAACUUUGGAAAGAGAGUUAAACAGUACGUGAAAUUGCUGAAAGGGAAACGCUUGACGUCAGUCCACGUCGGCCGGGGAUCAACCUUGCUUCUCGUUGGGUGCAUUUCCCGGUCUGAUGGGGUCAGCAUCGGUUUCGCUCGUCGUACAAUGGCAAAGGGAAUGUGGCACUUCUCGGAGUGUGUUAUAACCCUUCGUCGUAUGUGGCGGUCGAGACCGAGGAACUCGGCACGGCUUCGGUCUGUGUCCUAGGAUGCUGGCAUAAUGGCCUUAAGCGACCCGUCUUGAAACACGGACCAAGGAGUCUAACAUGCCUGCGAGUGUUUGGGUGGCAAACCCGGGCGCGCAAUGAAAGUGAAAGUCGAGAUCUCUGUCGUGGAGAGCAUCGACGCCCGGACCUGAGUCUUCGACGACGGAUCUGCGGUAGAGCAUGCAUGUUGGGACCCGAAAGAUGGUGAACUAUGCCUGAAUAGGGUGAAGCCAGAGGAAACUCUGGUGGAGGCUCGUAGCGAUUCUGACGUGCAAAUCGAUCGUCGAAUUUGGGUAUAGGGCGAAAGACUA
rnacentral:rRNA from 1 species